rnacentral:rRNA from 1 species
AGUGGCGAACGGGUGAGUAAUGCAUCGGAACGUGCCCAGUUGUGGGGGAUAACUGCUCGAAAGAGCAGCUAAUACCGCAUACGACCUGAGGGUGAAAGCGGGGGAUCGCAAGACCUCGCGCAAUUGGAGCGGCCGAUGUCAGAUUAGGUAGCUGGUGGGGUAAAGGCCUACCAAGCCGACGAUCUGUAGUUGGUCUGAGAGGACGACCAGCCACACUGGGACUGAGACACGGCCCAGACUCCUACGGGAGGCAGCAGUGGGGAAUUUUGGACAAUGGGCGCAAGCCUGAUCCAGCAAUGCCGCGUGCAGGAAGAAGGCCUUCGGGUUGUAAACUGCUUUUGUCAGGGAAGAAAUCCUCUGGGUUAAUACCCCGGGGGGAUGACGGUACCUGAAGAAUAAGCACCGGCUAACUACGUGCCAGCAGCCGCGGUAAUACGUAGGGUGCGAGCGUUAAUCGGAAUUACUGGGCGUAAAGCGUGCGCAGGCGGUUAUGCAAGACAGAGGUGAAAUCCCCGGGCUCAACCUGGGAACUGCCUUUGUGACUGCAUGGCUAGAGUACGGUAGAGGGGGAUGGAAUUCCGCGUGUAGCAGUGAAAUGCGUAGAUGUGCGGAGGAACACCGAUGGCGAAGGCAAUCCCCUGGACCUGUACUGACGCUCAUGCACGAAAGCGUGGGGAGCAAACAGGAUCAGAUACCCUGG